GGGGAAUAUUGCACAAUGGAGGAAACUCUGAUGCAGCGACGCCGCGUGAGCGAUGAAGGCCUUCGGGUCGUAAAGCUCUGUCCUAUGGGACGAUAAUGACGGUACCAUAGGAGGAAGCCCCGGCUAACUACGUGCCAGCAGCCGCGGUAAUACGUAGGGGGCGAGCGUUGUCCGGAAUGACUGGGCGUAAAGGGUACGUAGGCGGCUAGGUAAGUCAGAUGUGAAGGGCAUGGGCUCAACCCAUGUUAGCAUUUGAAACUGCUUAGCUUGAGUUAAGGAGAGGAAAGUGGAAUUCCUGGUGUAGCGGUGAAAUGCGUAGAUAUCAGGAGGAAUACCAGUGGCGAAGGCGACUUUCUGGACUUAUACUGACGCUGAGGUACGAAAGCGUGGGGAGCAAAC
rnacentral:rRNA from 1 species